UAGGGGCGCAGCAGUGGGGAAUCUUGGACAAUGGGCGAAAGCCUGAUCCAGCGACGCCGCGUGGAGGAAGAAGUCCUUCGGGAUGUAAACUUCUGAGCUAGCCGAAUAAAAGGCCUGUGGACACACAGGAGAAGAAAGUAGGCUAGGAAAAGUCCCGGCUAACUACGUGCCAGCAGCCGCGGUAAGACGUAGGGGGCAAGCGUUACCCGGAAUUACUGGGCGUAAAGGGGGCGUAGGCGGUAAAAGAAGUCAUCUGUGAAAACCUAUUGCUCAACGAUAGGCUAGCGGAUGAAACUGAAUUACUUGAGGGCACCAGAGGUAGACGGAAUUACUUGAGUAGGGGUGAAAUCCGCAGAUACGGGUAGGAACGCCGGUGGAGAAGUCGGUCUACUGGGGUGCACCAGACGCUGAGGCCCGAAAGCUAGGGGAGCAAACCGGAUUAGAUACCCGGGUAGUCCUAGCCGUAAACGAUGCUCACUAGGUGCAGGGAGUGAUAAACUCUCUGUGCUGAAGCGAACGCGCUAAGUGAGCCGCCUGGGGAGUACGUCCGCGAGGAUGAAACUCAAAGGAAUUGGCGGGGGAGCAC
rnacentral:rRNA from 1 species